rnacentral:rRNA from 1 species
GAUGAACGCUAGCUACAGGCUUAACACAUGCAAGUCGAGGGGAAACGACAUCGAAAGCUUGCUUUUGAUGGGCGUCGACCGGCGCACGGGUGAGUAACGCGUAUCCAACCUGCCCAUCACUUGGGAAUAACCUUGCGAAAGUAAGACUAAUACCCAAUGAUAUCCCACGAAGGCAUCGGAAUGGGAUUAAAGAUUUAUCGGUGAUGGAUGGGGAUGCGUCUGAUUAGCUUGUUGGCGGGGUAACGGCCCACCAAGGCAACGAUCAGUAGGGGUUCUGAGAGGAAGGUCCCCCACAUUGGAACUGAGACACGGUCCAAACUCCUACGGGAGGCAGCAGUGAGGAAUAUUAGGCAAUGGGCGAGAGCCUGAACCAGUCAAGUAGCGUGCAGGAAGACGGCCCUAUGGGUUGUAAACUGCUUUUAUAAGGGAAUAAAGUGGGUCACGUGUGACUUUUUGCAUGUACCUUAUGAAUAAGGACCGGCUAAUUCCGUG